rnacentral:rRNA from 1 species
AGAAUCAACGCUGGCGGCGUGCCUAACACAUGCAAGUCGAACGAGAAAGUGGAGCAAUCCAUGAGUAAAGUGGCGCACGGGUGAGUAACACGUGACUAACCUACCUUUUAGUGGGGGAUAACCUAGGGAAACCUGGGCUAAUACCGCAUAACACUUACGAGUCAAAGCAGCGAUGCGCUGAAAGAGGGGGUCGCGGCCGAUUAGCUAGUUGGCGGGGUAAUGGCCCACCAAGGCAGUGAUCGGUAUCCGGCCUGAGAGGGCGCACGGACACACUGGAACUGAAACACGGUCCAGACUCCUACGGGAGGCAGCAGUGGGAAUUUUGCGCAAUGGGGGAAACCCUGACGCAGCAACGCCGCGUGGAGGAUGAAGUCCCUUGGGACGUAAACUCCUUUCGAUCGGGACGAUAAUGACGGUACCGGAAGAAGAAGCCCCGGCUAACUUCGUGCCAGCAGCCGC